UGAUCAGCCACGCCGCGUGAGUGAUGAAGGCCUUCGGGUUGUAAAGCGCUUUCGGCCGCUGCUGAAGAGGACGGUGCUAAUACCACGGGCUCCUGACGGCACCCUGAGAACAAGCACCGGCUAACGACGGGCCAGCAGCCGCGGCAAUACGUAGGGGGCAAGCGUUAAUCGGAAUUACUGGGCGAAAAGCGUGCGCAGGCGGCCAUGUAAGACAGGUGAGAAAUCCCCGGGCUUAACCUGGGAACUGCGUUAGAGACUGGGGGGCUAGAGUGCGGCAGAGGGGGAUGGAAUUCCGCGUGGAGGAGCGAAAUGCGUAGAUAUGCGGAGGAACACCGAUGGCGAAGGCGAUCCCCUGGACCUGCACUGACGCUCAUGCACAAAAGCGUGGGGAGCAAACAAGAUUAGAUACCCUGGUUUUUUACGCCCUAAACGAUGUGAACUGGGUGUUGGGUCUUCACUGACUCGGUAACCAAGCUAACGCGUGAAGUUGACCGCCGGGGGAGGACCGCCGCCAGGAUUAAACUCCAAGGAAUUGAGCGGGA
rnacentral:rRNA from 1 species